ensembl:lncRNA
GUUAAGGUAUCAGUUAGGGUUAGGUUCAGGUAUCAGUUAGGGUUAGGUAAACGUAUCAGUUAGGGUUAGGUUAAGGUAUCAGUUAGGGUUAGGUUAAGGUAUCAGUUAGGGUUAGGUUAAGGUAUCAGUUAGGGUUAGGUUAAGGUAUCAGUUAGGGUUAGGUUCAGGUAUCAGUUAGGGUUAGGUUAAGGUAUCAGUUAGGGUUAGGUUCAGGUAUCAGUUAGGGUUAGGUUAAGGUAUCAGUUAGGGUUAGGUUCAGGUAUCAGUUAGGGUUAGGUAAACGUAUCAGUUAGGGUUAGGUUCAGGUAUCAGUUAGGGUUAGGUUAAGGUAUCAGUUAGGGUUAGGUUAAGGUAUCAGUUAGGGUUAGGUUCAGGUAUCAGUUAGGGUUAGGUAAACGUAUCAGUUAGGGUUAGGUUAAGGUUGUACAAUGUUAGGGUUAGGUUAACGUUGUACAAUGUUAGGGUUAGGUUAACGUUGUACCAUCUGAGGGUUAGGGUUAGGUUAACGUUGUGCCUUGUUAGGGUUAGGGUUUGGUUAACAUUGUGCCUUGUUAGGGUUAGUUGUGUGCUAAUCAUGCAGAUUGACAUGCCUAGCAUCAUUUAGCGGCCGAUUGAGUUGCAGAAUAACCUCAGUGACUUUGACCACACAGCAUCAGAGACACAGCGUGAGAGAAGGUGCCCUGAUCACAUUCUUAACUAAUGAGUUAGCAUUAAUCUGGAUACGGUUACCGCUGGGUCAGACCGCGCAGCGGAGAAGAACAAUCAGGACAUGAAAGGUUUUUCGGCGUUUCGUUAGCACGACCGUUUGAACAUCUCGGGCUGCUGUCACCGG